UACGUAGGGGGCAAGCGUUAUCCGGAAUUACUGGGUGUAAAGGGAGCGUAGACGGCAGAGCAAGUCCGGAGUGAAAGCCCGGGGCCCAACCCCGGGACUGCUCUGGAAACUGUUAAGCUGGAGUGCGGGAGGGGCAGGCGGAAUUCCUAGUGUAGCGGUGAAAUGCGUAGAUAUUAGGAGGAACACCAGUGGCGAAGGCGGCUUACUGGACUGUAACUGACGUUGAGGCUCGAAAGCGUGGGGAGCAAACAGG
rnacentral:rRNA from 1 species